rfam:Capsicum annuum cultivar Zunla-1 chromosome 3, whole genome shotgun sequence
GAGAGCCGAAUGAAUCGAAAGAUUCAUGUUUGGUUCGGGAAGGGAUUAUGGAAUUUUUGAUAGGAAUGGAAAAAUAAUAUAAUUUUAAU